UUGGCAUUCAGAGAGCCAGUAUUACUUUUAUCUAAUGUAAAAAGUUUUAUUUGUUAUGUCAGCAUUUAGCAUAAAUGUUGUUAGACAGAAGGAUAAUUAGCAUACAUCAAUUCCGGUUCACACAUACUGUUAGCACCACUUAAACCUGCAGUAACUGAUUUAUUUUGUAACAACAACACAACAUUGACAUAACUUUUAAGUUGAUAUGGCGAACUUGUUAGCAGACGGUUUCUUAUUUACACAUCCAGCAUUUAAGGAGCAACAUUAUCAUCCAUUUGGAGUCAUGUUCAUGUCCACCUGAUGAAUGGAUUUCAAAGAGCCAGCCAGGUUGCUGUGGUUACAAAAAAAGGACGUCUGGGCCCGCAGCACUGAACAGUGUCGGGGUCAUGGAAGCUCCCAAGUGACCAGCGGCAGGAGCAACAGCCAUCGGCCCCCGCUGAGCAUCAGUAAUUAGAGCCCUCCUCCCCCUCCUCCGAGCCGGGGAAGCUCUCGCCCUCCUCCUGAAGGGCAAGCGGGCAGAGAGGAGGAACAGCUGCUGAUGGGAAACCACUCUCCGGUUCCCAUGAAUGACCAGCGUCCCUCCGUCCUCCUCAGAGGAUGUGCAGCAGCAUCUUUGAUGGCGAUGAUGGAGGCUUGGACCAGACAUAUUAUAGGACCAUAGGCUGUCUGGUUUCUCAUGGCUGUUUAUCCUGCCUCUUUCUUUUUGUUUGUUAUCACCAUUCCUAUGACUCAUUGGUGAUUUAUUCAUCUGUUGAUGGUUUAUUAUUAUUACUGAGAGAAUGUCUGAAUUUGAAAAGCAGUAUUGCAAGACUCACACAUGCAUAAGAUGAACAAUAAAUUACAAUAAGUGGACUAUAACAUUAGCAUGGUCUGUAAUAAAUACAACCUUUAUGAAGCAUAUAAUGGCCACUUUAAUUAAAAAUGAAAGUAUCUACUGGCCAAUAUAAUGGUCAGCUCAGGGAUGGUGACAAAAUAUUAGGUACACCCAGUGGUGGAAGAAGUAUUUAGAUCCUUUACUCAAGUCAAAGUACCAAUACACAAUGCAAUUUAAUACUCCAUCACAAGUAUUCAAGACCUGCAUUCAAAGUCAGUAUCAUCAGCAUCAUCAAAUUAUAGUUUAAGGAUCAAAAGUAAAAGUGCUUGCUCUUCAGAAAAAUAUCACCUGUGUCUGAUUAAUUAAUAUGUUGCUUUUAAAAUAGA